UUCAGAUGUCAAAAAGUAUUUGUGGCUCCCAGUGUUUUCUUUUUCGUGCAAAUCGGGUCCAAAUGGCUCUUUGGGUCUUAAAUGUUGCUGACCCCUGGUUUAGAUGGUUGUCUUUAAAACCUUCACUGAAGAGUCUUGUUGGAGAAAGCCACACCUUUACCUCACUGCAGCAGGGGUGAACAAGUGGGUGCAAGUCUAUUUAGGUUAGAAUCCAUAUGAUUAUAACCAAUAUGUAUUAGAAUAAAAUAAAUAAAUGUGCAAUGAACAUGUCAGGAGUCACUGUUGAAAACCCUCAUGGCAGUGGGGUUAAAGUACCUCCUGAACCUCUGAUUCCUGCAGUGCAGCGAGGCGAGCCUCUGCAGCUCCUACUGUCCUGUGAGGAUGCUUAGGUGAACACCAACACCAGCCCCUUGGUUUUGUUGUUCAGGAGAAGACUGUUCUUAUUACUCCAGCCAGUUAAAUAAAUAUAUCAUAAUACAGUACAUUUUAACAUAAUGACCUUAUAUUUAUUCAUGACUUUUAACCAUAAUUUCAAAUUAAAAUAAUCAUGUUUGAAAUAUUUAUUCAACUUAUAGAAUUAAAUCUCUGCUAGUUGUUUUCUGUUCCAAAAAUAUCUAGUUUAAUACUAUUUAAAUUUACAUAUAUUUUUGUAAAUUACACAAAAUUGGCAUUUUCAAUGCCAAUGCCAUUACACAAAAUUGGCAUGGCGGAGUUUCCCACUACCCGUGAAUGCCUCUUAUUUUAAGUCUCUGGCUGACUCCUGAAUCUCCUCCCACUCUCUGCUUGAUCCCUGCCGAGUGAAAGAGAUCUUUGGUUUUGCCUUUGCUGACUGCUGAUCUGAUCGUCUCAAGUCUGGUAAGUAAAGGUUUGUCUGAUGUGCAGUGCUGGGAAAUGUUUCUCAUUAUAGGAGAUUCAGUUUAGUGCUGUGAGUCAGCACAGCUCUUGGCAAUUAUCAAAUAAUAGAAAAGUCUAUGAAAACAUUUCCAGACUUACAAAUCUCUCUUAUCAUCAUACUA